CUUCAAGAUGGAUCUUUGAAGUUCACUUUCUUCUUCAUUGACUCUUUCAAAUUCAAGUUUCUUAAUUGUAUUUUGUGGUAAGUUUUUCUCGACUCUUUCUUUCUUAAUUUUGUUUUUUUUUUUCCUUCAAUUUUUUUAGAGAAUAUAAUGACAUGAAGUUUACAGAUGUGACCAUUUUUAUUUGCCCUGAUCCAUUUGUGGAAAGGAAAAUUGCAUGAAAAUGACUAUAAACAAAAUAGUAAUAUUUAACAACCAUCCAAGCAAGUUGUUGAUGAAGAUGGAGAUACUCUUGCUCAAAUUUCGACAAACAUUCAUCAUCUGAAUCAAAUUUUGGUAUUUAAGUUGUCUGUAUACGAUCAUUAUCAGUUGUAUUGGUUAAUGAAUGCUCACCGAAUGAAAUAAUGCAUUUAUUGCAAAUGAUGUACCUUUACAUUUGAGUUUUAUACAUGAUCAAUGUAAAUAUUUUUUUGCACUAUCAGGUUAGUAGAUUUACAUUAACCUUCUUGAUAAAAUGUGCUACCUACCAUCACAUGUAAAAAUUAUUUACGUUACGUUGACAAUGUAUAUUAUUUAUUAAACUCUUACGUUUUAUUGUGCUUUCUAUUCUGGCUUUGAAAUUUAGGGGCUAAGAAAAAGGUUGGGAUGUUCAUUGAUCAACUAAUUUGAGAUAUUAGACGAUGAUAUUGAUGUAAUGAAAUUGGAAGAUGGUGUAAUUCAAAACAUUGUAAAGUCUCUGAUUUGUAUUCAUAAGUUGCAAUCCUUGAUUGUUUUUCAUUGUAUUGAGUUAUUUUUCAUAAUGUUG
rnacentral:lncRNA from 1 species